GCUGGGCGAGGUGGCACGCGCCUGUAAUCCCUGUGGCUCUGGAGGCUGAGGCAGGAGGAUCUCGAGUUCAAAGCCAGCCUUAGCAAUAACGAGGUGCUAAACAACUCAGCGAGAACCUGUCUCUA
rnacentral:sRNA from 1 species